UGUGAAAUCCCCGGGCUCAACCUGGGAACUGCAUUCGAAACUGGCAGGCUUGAGUCUUGUAGAGGGGGGUAGAAUUCCAGGUGUAGCGGUGAAAUGCGUAGAGAUCUGGAGGAAUACCGGUGGCGAAGGCGGCCCCCUGGACAAAGACUGACGCUCAGGUGCGAAAGCGUGGGGAGCAAACAGGAUUAGAUACCCUGGUAGUCCACGCCGUAAACGAUGUCUACUUGGAGGUUGUGCCCUUGAGGCGUGGCUUCCGGAGCUAACGCGUUAAGUAGACCGCCUGGGGAGUACGGCCGCAAGGUUAAAACUCAAAUGAAUUGACGGGGGCCCGCACAAGCGGUGGAGCAUGUGGUUUAAUUCGAUGCAACGCGAAGAACC
rnacentral:rRNA from 3 species